UCGAUACCCGAGCACAUUUUUGAAGUUAUUGUCUAUUUGGUAAUUUUGAUCAUUUUUAAAUCUUUUUUUUGCUUGUUGUCAACUUAAUUGUUAAGAGAUGUGUAAAUUUUGAGUUAAAAUAAAUGUUUCAUUUAUUAGUUAUUAAGGUCUAAAUCUGCAAUAGAAAUUACUUGGAAUUGAUUAGGGUUUGGUUAGGAUUUAGGAUUUGAUUUGAUUAAGAUUUGUUUAGGAUUCAAUUAAGGUUUGACUAAGGUUUAUCUAGGAUUUGUCUAAGAUUUGGUUAAGACUUAGGGUUUGGUUUGGUUAGAGUUUGGUUAGAGUUUAGGAUUUGAUUUAGGAUUUGAUUUAGGUUAGGAUUUGAUUAGAGUUUGUUUAGGAUUUGAUUAUGAUUUGAUUAGGAUUUAUUUAUGAUUUGAUUAGAAUUUGUUUAGGAUUUGAUUAUGAUUUGAUUAGGAUUUAUUUAUGAUUUGAUUAGGAUUUGAUUAAGAUUUGAUUAGGAUUUGUCUAGGAUUUUUCUAAGGUUUGAUUAGGACUUAUUUAGGAUUUGUCUAGAAUUUGACUAGGAUUUGUUUAGGGUUUGGUUAGGAUUUGUUUAAGAUUUGAUUAGGAUUUGAUUAUGGUUUGACUAGGAUUUUUUUAGGAUUUGUUUAAGAUUUAAUUAGGACUUAUUUAGGAUUUCUUUAGAAUUUGAUUAAGAUUUAUUUAAGAUUUGAUUAGGCUUAUUUAGGAUUUGACUAAGAUUUAUUUAAGAUUUGUUUGGAAUUUGAUUAGGAUUUGUCUAAGAUUUGGUUAAGACCAUUUAAGAUUUGACUAAGGUUUGAUUAGGAUUUGACCAAGGUUUGAUUAGGUUUUGAUUAGCAUUUAAUUAAAGUUUUUAUUUUAAUAUUUUAUUAAGAUUUUUAUUUUAGUAUAUUUUUUUUGAACUUUUAUGUUAUUUCUUUAUGAUUUUUUAAAAGGAUCUCUAAGCAUUCUUUGUAUUUCUUGUAUAAUUUCAUUAAAAUUUUAAUUGAAUUUAAU
rnacentral:lncRNA from 1 species